GGAGCAGUAGCUCAGUGGAAGAGCAUCUGCGUAGCAUGCAGAAGGUCCCAGGUUCAAUCCUUGGCUUCUCCA